AACAUAUUCUUUAGUUUAUUCUUAUGUUGAUAAAGUUGAUAAGAGAUUAGUUUCACAAGAAAUAAUAAAAAAGAAAAUGAAUAAAACACAAAAUAACUACUCUAAUUUGUUAUAUAGCAUUAGCAAUUGUGAGUGUAUUAAUCAAAAUGUUAUUUUUUAUCAUUUCUUUUAUACAUACAAAAAAUUAAAAUCGAAAAAAAACCAAACACAAUGUGAGUCAUCAUCAUCAUCAUCAUCAUCAUCCAGUUCUUUUAUAAAUGUUCAAAAACAGAAAAAAAAAUAUGAAUAUUUCAUUUAUUUAUUUUUUUUGUUAUUUAUUUUUGUAUUACCAAUUUUUAUUAAAAAUGUGUAUAUAUAUCAGACACAUGAACUUGUUAGCUAUUUUGACGAAACAAGGAUUGGUUUUGACAGUUUAGAUGGGGGUGAAGGUUGUGUUAGUAGUGGUAUAAGUAGUGGUAGUAGUAGUAGUUGUAGUAAUAACAAACCCAAGUUUAACGACCAUCUGUUGUUCUAUGCUUGCAUAAAUCUGCUAAAAAAAUUAACAUAUACAGAUGUAGAUAAAGAAACAAAAACAAUAUAUAACAAGUAUAAUAAAAAGCAUAGUGGUGAUAAUAUAUAUGUCAAUGAUAGUGUCGUAGAAAAAAAAAAAUGGUCUAUUGCAACUGAUGACGUGAAACAUAAAGAAAAAAAGGAUAAUAAUAUAACGAGUGAGCAGCAUAAUACAUUAAUUGGUAACAUACAUAAUAAAAAUAAAGUGUCGGAUCAAGACUUAUUUGAAAAUAGUUAUAAUUUAAAAUUUAAAAAAUUGUUAAUAAUAUUAAUAUUAGCAUUAACCGAAUUUGUUAUAUUUUCAUUAGGCAUAAUAUAUAAUUUAUAUUUAUUAAGAAAAAAAUUGGAACAUAAUAAUUUUGUUGUUAAUAUAUGCUCUGCAAUGUUAAUAUUAUACAAUCCUAUUUUAUUUGUUAAUAAUACAAACUAUAUAACAGUAUUAUCAAUAGGUUUUUUAUUUUGGAGCAUCAAUUUGAUUUUGUUAAAAAACAUUUUUUUGUCCAUUUUAGUUUAUUUUGUGUCGAUAUUUUUUAAUAUAUCAAAUAUAUGUUUUUUUUUCCCAUUUAUGUUUAUUUAUGUUUAUAUAAAUAGUAGAUAUAUAGUAAAAAGAGGUUACCAAAUAAAAAGCUAUAUCAAAAAUAAAUCUCAAGUAAUAAAAUAUAAUGUUAUUUAUAUACUAUUAUUUGUUAUCAUGAGUUACUUUGCUUUAUAUAUAGCCACUAGGGAUAAUAAUAAUAGUAGUCAUAAUAGUAGUCAUAAUAGUAGUCAUAAUAAUAAUGAUAAUAAUCUUGGAGCGCAUUUUAAAAAAUGUUUUGAUUUUUUUAAUAAAUAUUUUGAAAAAAAAAUGGGAAAUAUAUUUAUAUAUUAUGUUAAUCACGCUCGCGCUCUGUCUCGUGUUAGUUCUGAUACUGGUGGUAAUACUUACACUUUAUUUAGCAGAAUCAUUAUAACUUAUUUCCCAAUGAUACUUACCUUAAUUUUUAAUUAUUUGUUUGUUAUAAACACAAUUAUGAAAUUCUAUACUUCUUUGAUGGUUUGUUCGAUAAUAUUUUUGUUAAAUUCAUUCAGA
ensembl:lncRNA